rnacentral:lncRNA from 1 species
UUUUUUUUCUUUCUUUUUGAUAAACGUAUUUAGUUGUACCAGAAUCAUUUGUUAAAAAGACUAUUCUUUACCCAUUAGGUUGACUUAACACCUUAUAAAAAUCAUUUAAUAGACAGAGGUGGAGCAAGAUGGCUAAAUAGAAUUCUGCAGCAAUUGCUCCCACAGGAACACCAAAUUGAACAACUAUUCACACAAGAAACCACCUUCAUAAGGACCAAAAAUCAGGUGAGUGAUCACAGUACCUGGUUUUAACAGCAAAGCAAAGAAAGGCACCAAAGAGGGUAAGAAAGACAGUCUUGAAUUGCCAACAACACCCUUCUCCCAUACUCCAGCAGUGGCUGUGUGGCACAGAGAUAGAAUCUGUUUGCUUUGGGGAGGGAGAGAGCAGUUAUUGUGGGACCAUGACUUGGAAAUCAAUGCUGUCUGUCACAGUGGAAAGCAACACAGGGCAGCAUUUGGUCAGCCCUCUAAAAGGACCAUUUAUCCAAGCCCUGGCUACAGGGGAAUCAUCCAUCUCAGUGUUUAGAACUUGAGUUCCAGCUAGCUCCACCACUAUGAGCUAAAGUUCCCUGGGGUUCUAAAUAAAUGCAAAAGGCAGUCUAGGGCACAAUGACUGCAAUUUUGGGGAAAGUCUUUGUGCUCUACUGGGCUCAGGAGCAGUGAAAUUGGGGUGCAUAAAAAUUAGUGAGAUAUACAACCUGGGACAGGCAAGGGAGUGCUUGUGUCACCUGUCCCCCAAUCCCAGGCAGUGGAGCUCAUAGUUCCAGAAGAGACUCUUUCUUUCUGCUUAAGGAGAGGAAAGUAGAGUGUAAAAAUAACUUUGUCUUGCAAUUUGGACACCAGCUCAGCCACAGUAGAAUACAGCAUGAGGCAGAGUCCUGAGGCUCCUAUUCCAGGCCCUAGUUCCUUGAUGACAUUUCUAAACACACCACGAAUCUGAAGAGAACAUGGUACCUUGAAGGGCACCACCCAAUUCUGGAAAGAUUCAUCACCUGCUGAUUAAAGAGAGCUUGAGCCUUGAAUCAACACCAGUGAUAGCCAGGCAAUACUUACUGUGGGUCUUGGGUGAGACCCAGUGCUGUGAUGGCUGCAGGUGUAAC